UACGUAGGGGGCAAGCGUUGUCCGGAAUCAUUGGGCGUAAAGAGCGUGUAGGCGGCCAGAUAGGUCCGUUGUGAAAACUGGAGGCUUAACCUCCAGCGGUCGAUGGAAACCAUUUGGCUAGAGUCCGGAAGAGGAGAGUGGAAUUCCUGGUGUAGCGGUGAAAUGCGCAGAUAUCAGGAAGAACACCCGUGGCGAAGGCGGUUCUCUGGGACGGUACUGACGCUGAGACGCGAAAGCGUGGGGAGCGAACAGG
rnacentral:rRNA from 1 species